rnacentral:snRNA from 1 species
GGAUGUGAGGGCGAUCUGACUGCGACAUCUGUCACCCCACUGAUUGCCAGGGUUGAUUCAGCUGAUCUGGCUGCCUAGGCGGGUGUCCCCUUCCUCACUGCUCCAUGUGUGUCUCUCCCGAAGGUGUGCGCUUGGUCGAAGAUGAUGACCUUCCCUGAAUAGAGGACUGGUGCCCUGCUAGAACCUCCAAACAAGCUCUCAAGACUUUAAAAUAAGCAUUUAAAAUAAACAGCUGCAGUAAGAACGAGGUUAUUUUCAACACGAAUUACGAUCUGUAAUUGUGUUUUUUUUUAGAAAAAAAGAUAUGCAUU